AAGCAAGGGCGCGCGGCCGCCGAGCACUCAAUUUACUGUUGCUGAGAAAAUCAAAUCCGCAGCAGUGAAUUGAGUGCUCGGAGGAAAGUCCGGGCACCGCAGGGCACCGUAGCGGCUAACGGCCGCCAUUUGCUCCGCAGAGAGUAAGUCUAUCAACAUACCCACCACAAACGGUGGGGGUUGAAGGGGGAGGAGUCAACUCCCCCUGAGCUUUAGCCGGCUCGGACUUGCUCCGAGCCGGCGAAUAGGACUAGUGCAACAGAAAGCAAGUACGGUGGCGUUGGCAACAACGCUACGCAGUAGUGAAAUCCGGCAAACUCUACGGGGUGCAAGGCCAAAUAGGCCGUGCAUUCUCCCUUUGGGGAGAAGAGAUCGGCCCGGUCUCUAUCUUCGGCCUUGAAAGGUCGGGGAAUGCGCGGUGGGUAGGCUGCUUCGAUCGCUUUCGCAAGAAAGCGGCUAGAGAAAUGACCGCGGCUCGGCAACGAGUACAGAACCCGGCUUACAGCCCUUCACA
rnacentral:RNase_P_RNA from 1 species